UACGUAGGUGGCAAGCGUUGUCCGGAUUUACUGGGCGUAAAGAGCGCGCAGGCGGUCGUUCAAGUCGCGUGUGAAAGCCCCCGGCUCAACUGGGGAGGGUCACGCGAUACUGAUCGACUCGAAGGCAGGAGAGGGUAGUGGAAUUCCCGGUGUAGUGGUGAAAUGCGUAGAUAUCGGGAGGAACACCUGCGGCGAAGGCGGGUUGCUGGGCUGACACUGACGCUGAUGCGCGAAAGCCAGGGAGCGAACGGG
rnacentral:rRNA from 1 species